GUCUUUUUGAUUUUAAUUUAAAGUCAAAUCUGCCCACUGAUUAAUAUUAAAGGGCUGCAGUAUAUUGACUGUACAAAGGUAGCAUAAUAAAUAGUCUUUUAAUUGAAGACUUGUAUGAAAGAUUUGAUGAGAUAUAAACUGUCUCUUUUUUAUAUUUAGAAUUUAAUUUUUUAGUAAAAAAGCUAAAAUUAUUUUAAAAGACGAGAAGACCCUAUAGAGUUUUAUAGUUAAUUUAUUUAUAAAUUUAUAUGUAAAAUUUAAAAUUUAAUUAAUUUAAUUAUUUUGUUGGGGUGAUAGAAAAAUAUAUUAAACUUUUUUUUUAAAAAUUACAUUAAUUAAUGAGUAUAUGAUCCAUAAAUUAUGAUUAAAAGAAAAAAUUACCUUAGGGAUAACAGCGUAAUUUUUUUUUUUAGUUCUUAUAGGAAAAAGAGUUUGCGACCUCGAUGUUGGAUUAAGAUAAAAUUUAAAUGUAGAAGUUUAAAAUUUUUGAUCUGUUCGAUCAUUAAAAUCUUACA
rnacentral:rRNA from 2 species